GAGGGCCGAACUGGAUAAAGCUCAGAGACACACACACAGACUGAGACAGAAGCUGGACCGGACCAGAGCCAGAGAGGGAGGACAGUGGUGCUUCAUACCUCCUGGACACACUGCUCCCAGUCUGGGCUCUCUGGGAACUCAGGACUCCGGGUUGGGGCUGCAGUACCUCAGACCUCCCGCAAGAGGAGGGUACUGUGUCUACUUCCCCCCGACACACAGCGACUCUGACACAGCAGCAGCAGAGUGGAGGGACAGCGGAGGAGGA